UACGAAGGGUGCUAGCGUUGUUCGGAAUCACUGGGCGUAAAGCGCGCGUAGGCGGCUUUUCAAGUCAGGGGUGAAAUCCCAAGGCUCAACCUUGGAAUUGCCUUUGAAACUAAAAAGCUGGAGUGUUGGAGGGGUUAGCGGAAUUCCUAAUGUAGCGGUGAAAUGCGUAGAUAUUAGGAGGAACACCGAUGGCGAAGGCAGCUAACUGGACAACAACUGACGCUGAGGCGCGAAAGCGUGGGGAUCAAACAGG
rnacentral:rRNA from 1 species